ensembl:lncRNA
CUCUCGUUCGCUUCUCGCUCUCUCCCUCCCGUCUAGCUUGCUCGCUGCUUUUUUAAUAAUAUUAUUCUAAGCGGGCAUGAGGCGCUGCGGCCCGAGCCCUGAUUGGUCUGGUUAUCUGACCCGGGGCCUGCCCGCGCCAGACAAUAGUCGGAGUCAAAUUAUUCGCCAUGGAGACGCUGUCAGUCACUGGUAACCCGAGCCCCGGCGGGCCAGGCGGCUCCCCCCGGCCGGCUCCGCUGACAGAUCGCCGGGCUCCGCGCAGAGCGGAGGGCGGCCCGAGACAGGAGCCGGAGGCUCUCCAAAAGCCGGGGAGGAGGGCGCAUAUGUAAACACGUGCUGCUGGUUCUCUUCGAGAAGGGCAGAGCUGGGAGAGCUCUGGGAGAGCUGGAUGGAAGAGGCUGCUUGAAGCAAUUUAAUACGGUUGGACCCUGCAGAGGAUGCAUAACCAACAAAACUCAGCAAGCGAGAGCUGACUGGCUCCGAAUGGACCGCCAGUGCCGCACAGCCAUGCGAGGCCUGAUGGCAAAUGGGGCUUCAGGUUUUCACCUUCCUCGUGGAACUCUCCUUCAGGAAGCAGGGACUCUCCAGUGGGAUCAUCAGGAGGAGUUAGAGUAGGGAUAUUCUUCUCAGAGACCUGGCCUCGGCAACGGAGGAAACAAAACCCUAGGGUCCGAGAGGACCGGAGUUCAAGAGGACAGCUCCUUCAUGCUUGGAGUGGAGCCCGAACUCUGUUCAAACCACUCACAGCACAUAUGGAAGGCCUGGCCUAUCAAACAAGGUGGGGUGGUGUAAGGAUUUGGAGUCAGACUCCCUGCAUGCACUUCUUGGCUCUGCCACUGUUUGUGUUGUCCUGGGAACUCACUUACCUAAACCUCAGUUUUUAUAGGAGCAACUCACACGCUCUGUUCAUUUGAUGGUUUUAUACAUUAUUUGUUUUUCUUGAGACCCUGGUAAGCAUUCACUAUGUUCUGGAGCAACAUAUUUCUUCUUUCUAGAUUCCAAGCUUCUAGAACAUUCUGAGGUUUCACUUGAGGAAGAAAGAGCUAGAUGCAGAUUGGAAUUGUAGUUGAGAACUAUAUAACUUCCUCUGGGACACAGCUGUAUGCAUUUAAAGAAAUAAUCAAAUGACAGGAAAAAGAAAGAAAAGAAGGAAGGAGGGAAGAAAUUUUAUACAGCUGUACAUUUUAAUAUACACUGUAAUUUCUUCACCUAUGGAAUGAAGAGUUUUGAUCAAAUUUCUCUGGCAGUCACAUCCAGCUAAUAAUAUCCUAUAGAUCUAUAGUUUAUUUCAUCACUG